rnacentral:rRNA from 1 species
GACGAACGCUGGCGGCGUGCCUAACACAUGCAAGUCGAGCGGAGAAAAUUGAAAGCUUGCUUUUGGUUUUCUUAGCGGCGGACGGGUGAGUAACGCGUGGGCAACCUGCCUUUUACAGGGGGAUAACACAGGGAAACUUGUGCUAAUACCGCAUAAAACAGCGAGAAAGCAUUUUCUUGUUGUCAAAGGAGCAAUCCGGUGAAAGAUGGGCCCGCGUCCAAUUAGCUAGUUGGUGAUGUAACGGACCACCAAGGCGACGAUUGGUAGCCGAACUGAGAGGUUGAUCGGCCACAUUGGGACUGAGACACGGCCCAGACUCCUACGGGAGGCAGCAGUGGGGAAUAUUGCACAAUGGGGGAAACCCUGAUGCAGCAACGCCGCGUGAAGGAUGAAGGUUUUCGGAUUGUAAACUUCUUUAGUCAGGGACGAAUAAAUGACGGUACCUGAAGAAUAAGCCACGACUAACUACGUGCCAGCAGCCGCAGUAA